rnacentral:rRNA from 1 species
CCUACGUGUGGCAGCAGUGGGGAAUAUUGCACAAUGGGGGAAACCCUGAUGCAGCGACGCCGCGUGAGUGAAGAAGUAAUUCGUUAUGUAAAGCUCUAUCAGCAGGGAAGAAAAUGACGGUACCUGAGUAAGAAGCACCGGCUAACUACGUGCCAGCAGCCGCGGUAAUACGUAGGGGGCAAGCGUUAUCCGGAUUUACUGGGUGUAAAGGGAGCGUAGACGGCAGUGCAAGUCUGGAGUGAAAGGCGGGGGCGCAACCCCCGGACUGCUCUGGAAACUGUACGGCUUGAGUGCAGGGGAGGUAAGUGGAAUUGCGAGUGUAGCGGGGAAAUGCGUAGAAAUUAGGAGGAACACCAGUGGGGAAGGCGGCUUACUGGACUGUAACUGACGUGUAGGCUCGAAAGCGUGGGGAGCAAACAGGAUUAGAUACCCGGUGAGUC